rnacentral:lncRNA from 14 species
CCUGAAAUGAGCCAGCUCUUUAGCUUUCUCUUCCUGCUGCUGGCAAGCAGCCUUAUACACCUCCUUGAAAGUGCUUCAGACCAUGGCUUGAUGGGGAGCCAAGGAGUCUCGCAAUGUCCCAUUGGCAAUUUACCCACUGACCUCUUCCUCUUAAAAACACUAAUGUUGAUUUGUGAAGUUCUGACCUGCUCUUAGUUUUUUCUGUUUCCUAACAUUCAGGACACACAGAGAUUAUGUCAAAGAGCAUGUGCUGACGCAGCAGUGGCCAGAGAGCUCAGAAGCAUUAAGCCUGUCUCAGAAAGCCCUCUACUUGGUCCACAGGGCUUGGAGAAGGCACUCAAGGCAGGAAGUCCAGGGAAUGCUGAGAGUGGGCUGGUCUCUGUGGAGCUGGAAGCAGCUAUGGACUAUGUACCACCAAGGAACCUCAGGCUGUCCCCUUUAAUACUCAGAUGCUCAUUCAGCUGGUGAUGUGUAAAACAGAAGAUAGCAAAUAUGCAGAGUACAACCAAGUUGUAGUGACUUGAUUUUGAGUUGCAUAAGUAGUGAUGCAACAAUCCUAUCGCGUUAGGAUCCAUCUUUUCUAUGAGAGCACCAGGACUGAGGGAUGUAAUAACGUCUAUCUAGAGGCACAGAGGCUCAGCACAUGGGAAGGGAAGAGGAAAGCACCAUGUAACACUUGGGCAGCAUGGAGGAAGUCCUCCUGUGGUCUGAAGUCUGGGCUUAGCAUCUCAGAUCAUCCACAGAAAGGAGCAGCACAAGUAAGGCCAUGA